UGAUGUGGUUUAAUUCGAUGCAACGCGAAAAACCUUACCUACCCUUGACAUGGCAAGAAUCCUGGAGAGAUCUGGGAGUGCUCGAAAGAGAGCUUGCACACAGGUGCUGCAUGGCCGUCGUCAGCUCGUGUCGUGAGAUGUUGGGUUAAGUCCCGCAACGAGCGCAACCCUUGUCAUCAGUUGCUACGAAAAGGGCACUCUGAUGAGACUGCCGGUGACAAAACCGGAGGAAGGUGGGGAUGACGUCAGGUCCUCAUGGCCCUUAUGGGUAGGGCUACACACGUCAUACAAUGGCCGGUACAGAGGGCUGCCAACCCGCGAGGGGGAGCCAAUCCCAGAAAACCGGUCGUAGUCCGGAUCGUAGUCUGCAACUCGACUGCGUGAAGUCGGAAUCGCUAGUAAUCGCGGAUCAGCUUGCCGCGGUGAAUACGUUCCCGGGUCUUGUACACACC
rnacentral:rRNA from 1 species